rnacentral:tRNA from 1 species
GUUGUGGCUUAGUGGUAAAACAUCUGUUUGACAUGCAGAAGAUCCCAGGUUCGAUACCUGGGAGUGGGUGACA